GUUGAGUGGCGAACUGGUGAGUAACACGUGGGAAACCUGCCCAGAAGCGGGGGAUAACACCUGGAAACAGAUGCUAAUACCGCAUAACAACUUGGACCGCAUGGUCCGAGUUUGAAAGAUGGCUUCGGCUAUCACUUUUGGAUGGUCCCGCGGCGUAUUAGCUAGAUGGUGAGGUAACGGCUCACCAUGGCAAUGAUACGUAGCCGACCUGAGAGGGUAAUCGGCCACAUUGGGACUGAGACACGGCCCAAACUCCUACGGGAGGCAGCAGUAGGGAAUCUUCCACAAUGGACGAAAGUCUGAUGGAGCAACGCCGCGUGAGUGAAGAAGGGUUUCGGCUCGUAAAACUCUGUUGUUAAAGAAGAACAUAUCUGAGAGUAACUGUUCAGGUAUUGACGGUAUUUAACCAGAAAGCCACGGCUAACUACGUGCCAGCAGCCGCGGUAAUACGUAGGUGGCAAGCGUUGUCCGGAUUUAUUGGGCGUAAAGCGAGCGCAGGCGGUUUUUUAAGUCUGAUGUGAAAGCCUUCGGCUCAACCGAAGAAGUGCAUCGGAAACUGGGAAACUUGAGUGCAGAAGAGGACAGUGGAACUCCAUGUGUAGCGGUGAAAUGCGUAGAUAUAUGGAAGAACACCAGUGGCGAAGGCGGCUGUCUGGUCUGUAACUGACGCUGAGGCUCGAAAGUAUGGGUAGCAAACAGGAUUAGAUACCCUGGUAGUCCAUACCGUAAACGAUGAAUGCUAAGUGUUGGAGGGUUUCCGCCCUUCAGUGCUGCAGCUAACGCAUUAAGCAUUCCGCCUGGGGAGUACGGCCGCAAGGCUGAAACUCAAAGGAAUUGACGGGGGCCCGCACAAGCGGUGGAGCAUGUGGUUUAAUUCGAAGCUACGCGAAGAACCUUACCAGGUCUUGACAUACUAUGCAAAUCUAAGAGAUUAGACGUUCCCUUCGGGGACAUGGAUACAGGUGGUGCAUGGUUGUCGUCAGCUCGUGUCGUGAGAUGUUGGGUUAAGUCCCGCAACGAGCGCAACCCUUAUUAUCAGUUGCCAGCAUUAAGUUGGGCACUCUGGUGAGACUGCCGGUGACAAACCGGAGGAAGGUGGGGAUGACGUCAAAUCAUCAUGCCCCUUAUGACCUGGGCUACACACGUGCUACAAUGGAUGGUACAACGAGUUGCGAACUCGCGAGAGUAAGCUAAUCUCUUAAAGCCAUUCUCAGUUCGGAUUGUAGGCUGCAACUCGCCUACAUGAAGUCGGAAUCGCUAGUAAUCGCGGAUCAGCAUGCCGCGGUGAAUACGUUCCCGGGCCUUGUACACACCGCCCGUCACACCAUGAGAGUUUGUAA
rnacentral:rRNA from 1 species